CUACGGAGGAUGCGAGCGUUAUCCGGAUUUAUUGGGUUUAAAGGGAGCGUAGGUGGGAUAUUAAGUCAGCUGUGAAAGUUUGGGGCUCAACCUUAAAAUUGCAGUUGAUACUGGUUUCCUUGAGUACGGUACAGGUGGGCGGCAUUCGUGGUGUAGCGGUGAAAUGCUUAGAUAUCACGAAGAACUCCGAUCGCGAAGGCAGCUCACCGGGCCGGAACUGACACUGAUGCUCGAAAGUGCGGGUAUCAAACAGGAUUAGAUACCCUGGUAGUCCGCACAGUAAACGAUGAAUACUCGCUGUUUGCGAUACACGGUAAGCGGCCAAGCGAAAGCGUUAAGUAUUCCACCUGGGGAGUACGCCGGCAACGGUGAAACUCAAAUGAAUUGACGGGG
rnacentral:rRNA from 1 species